rnacentral:tRNA from 1 species
GCUUCCAUAGCUCAGUUGGUUAGAGCACACGGCUUAUAUCCGUGGGGUCCUUGGUUCAAGUCCAAGUGGAAGCA